rnacentral:rRNA from 1 species
GGCCGCAGAGGGUGAGGGCCCCGUACCUGAACGCGCAUGGUCUGCCGAUCGCGUCUCCCAAGUAGCACGGGUCCCGUGGAACCCCGUGCGAAUCCGCCCAGACCGUUGGGUAAGCCUGAAUAUUCCUGUCUGACCGAUAGCGAACGAGUACCGUGAGGGAAAGGUGAAAAGUACCCCGGGAGGGGAGUGAAACAGUCUCUGAAACCGUGCGCCUACAAUCCGUCGGAGCCCUUUUGUGGGGUGACGGCGUGCCUAUCGAAAAAUGAGUCUGCGAGUCAGUGGCAUGUGGCGAGCAUAACCCGUGUGGGGUAUGCGUAGCGAAGGCGAGUCUUAAAAGGCGUUUGAGUCGCGUGUCCUGGACCCGAAGCGGGAUGAUCUAGCCCUGAGCAGGUUGAAGCGCGGGUAAGACCGCGUGGAGGACCGAACCCACCUGGGUUGAAAACCGGGGGGAUGACUUGGGGCUAGGGGUGAAAGGCCAAUCAAAUUCCGUGAUAGCUGGUUCUCUCCGAAAUGCAUUUGGGUGCAGCGUCGGGUCAUUACGUCCCGGGGGUAGAGCUACUGGAUGCUUGCGGGCCCGUAUCGGGUACCAACAGCAACCAAACUCCGAAUACCGGUGACGCGUAUCCCGGCAGUGAGUCGGCGGGGGAUAAGCUUCGUCGUCGAAAGGGAAACAGCCCAGACCGUCGUCUAAGGUCCCGAAGCGUGUGCUAAGUGGGAAAGGAUGUGGAGUCGCAUAGACAGCCAGGAGGUUGGCUCAGAAGCAGCCACCCUUGAAAGAGUGCGUAACAGCUCACUGGUCUAGUGGUUCCGCGCCGACAAUGUAGCGGGGCUCAAGCACACCACCGAAGACGCGGCAGUAUUUUGUACUGGGUAGGAGAGCGUCCCAUGAGGGGCGAAGCGGCCGUGUGAACGCGCCGUGGACUUCAUGGGAGUGAGAAUGCAGACAUGAGUAGCGAGAGACGGGUGAAGAUCCCGUCCGCUGGAUGACCAAGGGUUCCAGGGCCACGUUCAUCGUCCCUGGGUGAGUCGGGUCCUAAGGCGAGGCCGACAGGCGUAGUCGAAUGGAUGAACGGGUCGAUAUUCCCGUACCGGCUUUCAGCCGCCAAAACCGAGGCUUGGAGUACUAACCUCCGGGUCCGGGCUUACUGCUCCUUCGGGGGCGGGAUGCCCUGGCCUGUUGGGACCGAUCCUUGUAGUAGGUCAGCGCAGGAGUGACGCAGAAGGGUAGCCGGCCGCGGAGGUGGUCUUCCGUGGUCAAGCACGCAGGGCGUGGGACAGGCAAAUCCGUCCCGCAUGGGUCCGAGGUGCGAUGAUGGGGGCCUUAUGGCCCGAUAUCCGGUGAUCCCGGCUGCCGAGAAAAGCUUCGGCGUCAGGCUCGAAGCCGCCCGUACCCCAAACCGACACUGGUGGUCAGGUAGAGAAUACCAAAGCGAUCGAGCGAAUCCUGGUCAAGGAACUCGGCAAAUCACUCCCGUUCCUUCGGUUUAAGGGAGACCCCCGAUGGUGAACACACUUGCUGUGGGAGCUUUUGGGGGUGGCACAGACCAGGGGGUAGCGACUGUUUACCAAAAACACAGGUGCAUGCGAAGGCGCAAGCCGCUGUAUAUGCACUGACGCCUGCCCGGUGCCGGAAGGUUAAGAGGAUCCGUCAGCCUUCGGGUGAAGCGGUGAAUUCAAGCCCCGGUAAACGGCGGUGGUAACUAUAACCAUCCUAAGGUAGCGAAAUUCCUUGUCGGGUAAGUUCCGACCUGCACGAAUGGCGUAACGACUUCCCCACUGUCUCGACCAGGAGCUCGGCGAAAUUGCAGUACGAGUAAAGAUGCUCGUUAAGCGCAGAAGGACGAAAAGACCCCGGGACCUUUACUAUACCUUGGUAUUGGCAUUCGGUGUGGAUUGUGUAGCAUAGGCGGGAGGCCGAGAGGCGCGGUCGCCAGAUCGCGCGGAGCCGUAAGGUGAAAUACCGCUCUGUUCGCAUUGGAUGUCUAACCUCGAACAGUCAUCCUGUUCAGGGACAGUGCCUGGCGGGUAGUUUAACUGGGGCGGUUGCCUCCCAAAGAGUAACGGAGGCGCCCAAAGGUCCGCUCAGCCCGGUUGGCAAUCGGGUGGCGAGUGCAAGUGCACAAGCGGGCUUGACUGCGAGGACGACGGUCCGAGCAGGGACGAAAGUCGGGACUAGUGAUCCGGUGCCGGUGUACGGACGCGGCAUCGCUCAACG